UACGUAGGGUCCGAGCGUUGUCCGGAAUUACUGGGCGUAAAGAGCUCGUAGGUGGUUUGUCGCGUUGUUCGUGAAAACUCACAGCUCAACUGUGGGCGUGCGGGCGAUACGGGCAGACUGGAGUACUGCAGGGGAGACUGGAAUUCCUGGUGUAGCGGUGGAAUGCGCAGAUAUCAGGAGGAACACCGGUGGCGAAGGCGGGUCUCUGGGCAGUAACUGACGCUGAGGAGCGAAAGCCAGGGGAGCGAACGGG
rnacentral:rRNA from 1 species